rnacentral:rRNA from 1 species
UUAAGCGACUAAGCGUACACGGUGGAUGCCCUGGCAGUCAGAGGCGAUGAAGGACGUGCUAAUCUGCGAUAAGCGUCGGUAAGGUGAUAUGAACCGUUAUAACCGGCGAUUUCCGAAUGGGGAAACCCAGUGUGAUUCGUCACACUAUCAUUAACUGAAUCCAUAGGUUAAUGAGGCGAACCGGGGGAACUGAAACAUCUAAGUACCCCGAGGAAAAGAAAUCAACCGAGAUUCCCCCAGUAGCGGCGAGCGAACGGGGAGCAGCCCAGAGCCUGAAUCAGUGUGUGUGUUAGUGGAAGCGUCUGGAAAGGCGCGCGAUACAGGGUGACAGCCCCGUACACAAAAAUGCACAUGCUGUGAGCUCGAUGAGUAGGGCGGGACACGUGGUAUCCUGUCUGAAUAUGGGGGGACCAUCCUCCAAGGCUAAAUACUCCUGACUGACCGAUAGUGAACCAGUACCGUGAGGGAAAGGCGAAAAGAACCCCGGCGAGGGGAGUGAAAAAGAACCUGAAACCGUGUACGUACAAGCAGUGGGAGCACGCUUAGGCGUGUGACUGCGUACCUUUUGUAUAAUGGGUCAGCGACUUAUAUUCUGUAGCAAGGUUAACCGAAUAGGGGAGCCGAAGGGAAACCGAGUCUUAACUGGGCGUUAAGUUGCAGGGUAUAGACCCGAAACCCGGUGAUCUAGCCAUGGGCAGGUUGAAGGUUGGGUAACACUAACUGGAGGACCGAACCGACUAAUGUUGAAAAAUUAGCGGAUGACUUGUGGCUGGGGGUGAAAGGCCAAUCAAACCGGGAGAUAGCUGGUUCUCCCCGAAAGCUAUUUAGGUAGCGCCUCGUGAAUUCAUCUCCGGGGGUAGAGCACUGUUUCGGCAAGGGGGUCAUCCCGACUUACCAACCCGAUGCAAACUGCGAAUACCGGAGAAUGUUAUCACGGGAGACACACGGCGGGUGCUAACGUCCGUCGUGAAGAGGGAAACAACCCAGACCGCCAGCUAAGGUCCCAAAGUCAUGGUUAAGUGGGAAACGAUGUGGGAAGGCCCAGACAGCCAGGAUGUUGGCUUAGAAGCAGCCAUCAUUUAAAGAAAGCGUAAUAGCUCACUGGUCGAGUCGGCCUGCGCGGAAGAUGUAACGGGGCUAAACCAUGCACCGAAGCUGCGGCAGCGACGCUGAUGCGUUGUUGGGUAGGGGAGCGUUCUGUAAGCCUGUGAAGGUGUGCUGUGAGGCAUGCUGGAGGUAUCAGAAGUGCGAAUGCUGACAUAAGUAACGAUAAAGCGGGUGAAAAGCCCGCUCGCCGGAAGACCAAGGGUUCCUGUCCAACGUUAAUCGGGGCAGGGUGAGUCGACCCCUAAGGCGAGGCCGAAAGGCGUAGUCGAUGGGAAACAGGUUAAUAUUCCUGUACUUGGUGUUACUGCGAAGGGGGGACGGAGAAGGCUAUGUUGGCCGGGCGACGGUUGUCCCGGUUUAAGCGUGUAGGCUGGUUUUCCAGGCAAAUCCGGAAAAUCAAGGCUGAGGCGUGAUGACGAGGCACUACGGUGCUGAAGCAACAAAUGCCCUGCUUCCAGGAAAAGCCUCUAAGCAUCAGGUAACAUCAAAUCGUACCCCAAACCGACACAGGUGGUCAGGUAGAGAAUACCAAGGCGCUUGAGAGAACUCGGGUGAAGGAACUAGGCAAAAUGGUGCCGUAACUUCGGGAGAAGGCACGCUGAUAUGUAGGUGAAGCGACUUGCUCGUGGAGCUGAAAUCAGUCGAAGAUACCAGCUGGCUGCAACUGUUUAUUAAAAACACAGCACUGUGCAAACACGAAAGUGGACGUAUACGGUGUGACGCCUGCCCGGUGCCGGAAGGUUAAUUGAUGGGGUUAGCGCAAGCGAAGCUCUUGAUCGAAGCCCCGGUAAACGGCGGCCGUAACUAUAACGGUCCUAAGGUAGCGAAAUUCCUUGUCGGGUAAGUUCCGACCUGCACGAAUGGCGUAAUGAUGGCCAGGCUGUCUCCACCCGAGACUCAGUGAAAUUGAACUCGCUGUGAAGAUGCAGUGUACCCGCGGCAAGACGGAAAGACCCCGUGAACCUUUACUAUAGCUUGACACUGAACAUUGAGCCUUGAUGUGUAGGAUAGGUGGGAGGCUUUGAAGUGUGGACGCCAGUCUGCAUGGAGCCGACCUUGAAAUACCACCCUUUAAUGUUUGAUGUUCUAACGUGGACCCGUAAUCCGGGUUGCGGACAGUGUCUGGUGGGUAGUUUGACUGGGGCGGUCUCCUCCUAAAGAGUAACGGAGGAGCACGAAGGUUGGCUAAUCCUGGUCGGACAUCAGGAGGUUAGUGCAAUGGCAUAAGCCAGCUUGACUGCGAGCGUGACGGCGCGAGCAGGUGCGAAAGCAGGUCAUAGUGAUCCGGUGGUUCUGAAUGGAAGGGCCAUCGCUCAACGGAUAAAAGGUACUCCGGGGAUAACAGGCUGAUACCGCCCAAGAGUUCAUAUCGACGGCGGUGUUUGGCACCUCGAUGUCGGCUCAUCACAUCCUGGGGCUGAAGUAGGUCCCAAGGGUAUGGCUGUUCGCCAUUUAAAGUGGUACGCGAGCUGGGUUUAGAACGUCGUGAGACAGUUCGGUCCCUAUCUGCCGUGGGCGCUGGAGAAUUGAGGGGGGCUGCUCCUAGUACGAGAGGACCGGAGUGGACGCAUCACUGGUGUUCGGGUUGUCAUGCCAAUGGCACUGCCCGGUAGCUAAAUGCGGAAGAGAUAAGUGCUGAAAGCAUCUAAGCACGAAACUUGCCCCGAGAUGAGUUCUCCCUGACUCCUUGAGAGUCCUGAAGGAACGUUGAAGACGACGACGUUGAUAGGCCGGGUGUGUAAGCGCAGCGAUGCGUUGAGCUAACCGGUACUAAUGAACCGUGAGGCUUAACCUU